rnacentral:rRNA from 1 species
GACGUAGGGGGCAAGCGUUGUCCGGAUUUAUUGGGCGUAAAGAGCUCGUAGGCGGCUCAGAAAGUCGGGUGUGAAACCUCCAGGCUCAACCUGGAGACGCCACCUGAUACUGCUGUGGCUAGAGUCCGGUAGGGGAGCACGGAAUUCCCGGUGUAGCGGUGAAAUGCUUAGAUAUCGGGAGGAACACCAGUGGCGAAGGCGGUGCUCUGGGCCGGUACUGACGCUGAGGUGCGAAAGCGUGGGGAGCAAACAGG